UUAAAUUGAAGAGUUUGAUCAUGGCUCAGAUUGAACGCUGGCGGCAGGCCUAACACAUGCAAGUCGAACGGUAACAGGAAGCAGCUUGCUGCUUUGCUGACGAGUGGCGGACGGGUGAGUAAUGUCUGGGAAACUGCCUGAUGGAGGGGGAUAACUACUGGAAACGGUGGCUAAUACCGCAUAACGUCGCAAGACCAAAGAGGGGGACCUUCGGGCCUCUUGCCAUCAGAUGUGCCCAGAUGGGAUUAGCUAGUUGGUGAGGUAACGGCUCACCAAGGCGACGAUCCCUAGCUGGUCUGAGAGGAUGACCAGCCACACUGGAACUGAGACACGGUCCAGACUCCUACGGGAGGCAGCAGUGGGGAAUAUUGCACAAUGGGCGCAAGCCUGAUGCAGCCAUGCCGCGUGUAUGAAGAAGGCCUUCGGGUUGUAAAGUACUUUCAGCGGGGAGGAAGGUGUUGUGGUUAAUAACCGCAGCAAUUGACGUUACCCGCAGAAGAAGCACCGGCUAACUCCGUGCCAGCAGCCGCGGUAAUACGGAGGGUGCAAGCGUUAAUCGGAAUUACUGGGCGUAAAGCGCACGCAGGCGGUCUGUCAAGUCGGAUGUGAAAUCCCCGGGCUCAACCUGGGAACUGCAUUCGAAACUGGCAGGCUUGAGUCUUGUAGAGGGGGGUAGAAUUCCAGGUGUAGCGGUGAAAUGCGUAGAGAUCUGGAGGAAUACCGGUGGCGAAGGCGGCCCCCUGGACAAAGACUGACGCUCAGGUGCGAAAGCGUGGGGAGCAAACAGGAUUAGAUACCCUGGUAGUCCACGCCGUAAACGAUGUCUACUUGGAGGUUGUGCCCUUGAGGCGUGGCUUCCGGAGCUAACGCGUUAAGUAGACCGCCUGGGGAGUACGGCCGCAAGGUUAAAACUCAAAUGAAUUGACGGGGGCCCGCACAAGCGGUGGAGCAUGUGGUUUAAUUCGAUGCAACGCGAAGAACCUUACCUGGUCUUGACAUCCACAGAACUUUCCAGAGAUGGAUUGGUGCCUUCGGGAACUGUGAGACAGGUGCUGCAUGGCUGUCGUCAGCUCGUGUUGUGAAAUGUUGGGUUAAGUCCCGCAACGAGCGCAACCCUUAUCCUUUGUUGCCAGCGGUUAGGCCGGGAACUCAAAGGAGACUGCCAGUGAUAAACUGGAGGAAGGUGGGGAUGACGUCAAGUCAUCAUGGCCCUUACGACCAGGGCUACACACGUGCUACAAUGGCGCAUACAAAGAGAAGCGACCUCGCGAGAGCAAGCGGACCUCAUAAAGUGCGUCGUAGUCCGGAUUGGAGUCUGCAACUCGACUCCAUGAAGUCGGAAUCGCUAGUAAUCGUGGAUCAGAAUGCCACGGUGAAUACGUUCCCGGGCCUUGUACACACCGCCCGUCACACCAUGGGAGUGGGUUGCAAAAGAAGUAGGUAGCUUAACCUUCGGGAGGGCGCUUACCACUUUGUGAUUCAUGACUGGGGUGAAGUCGUAACAAGGUAACCGUAGGGGAACCUGCGGUUGGAUCACCUCCUUACCUUAAAGAAGC
rnacentral:rRNA from 24 species